CCCGUCCUCCACCCAGUGACCACACCUAGAACAAAGGGACACUGCAUUUACUGGCAUGCCUGCAUUGCAUCUGAGUGAAGGACAGCAAAGCCAAUGCUCCCGGUCUCCCAACACAAAAUUAUACAUAUCUGAAAAGAUAACACUAAAGCCAUUUUCAGCCGCCACCAACAGACUACUGGGACUCAGAGUUUGUUUUCCUGCCCUGGUCUUCAGCUGACCAAGAACACUGCUGGUUGCUGGUUGCAAAACGCAGUUCAGUAAACAGAAUUGACCUCUGAUGGAAUUCUAACAGAUAUGUUAGAUUUACAUGAGCAUGACCACUGUACCUCAAAGCCCAGAGGAGCCUGUCCUUCUUGGCCUCCAAUCAUAGAAGGUAAAAACCCAAAAAUUUUGUCCACCAUCUCCUGGUCACUGAUAACAUCAUAAUUUGUGUGUCUGUCAACAAAAUCAUUAUUCAUCCUUUGUCCUUCUUCCUCUUCUUCUUCCAGAAUAGCCAGGUGUUCCUUUAAACACAGAAGUUCAUUAAGCAUGAUUGGAACAUCAUUCUGCUAAAAGAAAUGGGUGUGAGGAUAAAAGGCAAUUACAAAGUGCUUUGCUCCUACAGCUGUCUUUGUAGACUGUUGGUCUAUUAAUAAUAAUGUUAUAUAUUCAAGAACUGUAUCUCUUAGUGAUUAUACCAGAAAAGCAUAUUAUGUUCAGUAUUCCUUAGCUGCCGUACCUACCUUUUCUAACUUCAUAGCUUCUUCCCUUGCUUUCACUGGCCCAAGGACACUAAUGAGACGUUUCUCUUCUUCCAAGCGGAUAUUCCUUGCUUCCAGCUUGACUUUGUUCUGUAGGCAACAGAACCAUUCUGUUACUGUUUCCAAAACUGCUGAGCAAGUUACACCAUUAGCAAGCUGUACACACCAGGGUUUUAUUCCAACAGGGACUAUUCCAUUUAGGGAAUGGGCCACAAGCAGAGAUCUGCUAACUGGCUUUGUCUUGUUUGUACAAGAUAUAAUACAGAAAGGAAACCACAGCAAGAGUUCCCCAUAUCAAUGGAUAGCCAAGGUAGUAAGUACAGGACUUUAUCUGGCAGUGCAUACCAAUAUACACUACAUCAGGAUUCCCUCUUGGAUGUAUCUCUAAGUGACAUUAUCAGGCCUUGCUGUAGAAAUUAAUCUUCCUUUGCAGGAAUGACUAAUAUAACAUACACAUCUUAUAUCCUCCCUUCUGUCAAAAACAUUUCUGCUCUGUCACUGAAGUUCUGAUCCAUGGAAAUGAACAUAGAAAGAACAUGUAAAUAAGAUCAUACUUGCCUUUGUACCGCAAAAUAAAAUAUUCCAAGAUAAAUAUCCACAUCUGGUGCUAUGCUAUGGCAACACUUACUGGCCAUUAUGCCUCAGAACCUCAUAGAAACAACGUCAUGUUCACAAAAUGUCUGGCACAUACAUACACCUCCCUCUUCAUCCUCUGUGAAGUUUGGCAAGCAAACAUGCCCCUUGCAUAUGCCUGUACAUAACACAAAGAGCUUUCAUCUGUGCUGCUACCUUUUGACGUAUUAGAUAACCACGGCAUGCAGCUUGAAACCUGAUGAUGUGUGCCCGUGCUGUUUCAUACUGCUUAGCAAGCUGCCGGCUCCGGUAGAGGGCCUGCAGGCGCCCAAAGCCCAGCAUAAUCUGUAGGAGGUGGAGGAAAAAAAAAGAAGUGAUCAUGAUUCAGUCAAGUGAGUCUGGGGUUCAGUGAGAUGAGUAGAAGACAACAAAAUUCAGAAGCUGGAUAAAGACACUGGAAGAGGUUAACGGAAUACUGCGAUCCAAGGGAAUACUUGGAAUUCUGCCACUUCAGCCUUUAAAAUCAUGUGAGAGUGUUCUUUUGAGGACCCAUUCUAGGGAUUAGCCUGAGCUGAUGACAAGAGAAAGAAGAGAGCAGAAAUUAAACCAAGUGAAUAGGAAAAAAACCAAACAAACAGGGCAUAGCCUUGUGAGAGAUGGAGUCAGAAAUAGAUGGGGUAGUCCCUAGCUUCAGAUAGGAACUGGGUCACUGACACAAAAUAGAAAAUGUUCCUGACUGAAACUGGCAGUUUCUCCUCUUCAUGAAUGGGAGGUUCUCAUAUAUUAAUAAUUUCUCCCACAGAAACACACAAUAUGUGAGCACCACCAAUAUGUUCCAGCUUUUUUCACCUACAAAAAUCACAAUCUAUACAGGUUCAGCCAUUAUUUAAAAAUUAAAAAGAAAAACAAAAGAGAGAAGUGUGAGAGCACUGGGUUGACAUGGUGCUGGAGCCAGGCCUGCCAGAGGUUAGGACAAUUACUAUUCCACCAGUAAGCAGAAACAUCACAGGCUCAGCAAGCCAUGAGAUGCCCCGGAGUCCUCCUUGGACCCAAGAAAUCCUUUCCUUAUACCCUGCCAUUUUGCUUCUCCCCUCUUAAUUUGUAAAUUAAAUUUUAAUUCUCCAUACUCCCCUCAGCCUAGGGAGGCAUGGUAUAUAAAUACACACACACACUGUAUGGUAACUGUUGAGUCCCAGCCUGAAGCACUGAUUAAGCACCUGGGGAAAGGACCCAGUGGGCCCUGGAGCACAGGUAAAGGCAAUGCAGCUGUGAGACCAGAAGUGGUGGAGCCUGGCUGCACCUCUCUUAGACCUUAUUGAAGGGCUGACUGCCACUGGGGGAGGAUUUGUGGUUGGAGAUCUUUUUCUUGUGGAGUUUUCCCUGUGAGCCUUGAUCUUCAGAGAUGGGUUGUUUACCUGUCCGUAGCCAGAUGUUCUGGACAGCAAAAAGCCACAGUGGGCUAGAGACUGAGGAAGAGAGAAAAGGAUCAGAAGAAAAUGCCAGGAGAAUAGGGAGAUAACAGUGCUCAACUGUGACUGUCAUCCAGGAGAAGAAAGAGAAAGGUGCAGCCCAGACCAACAGCAGAACAAUACUCAAUAUGCAAAUCCAUACGUUUCCUAAAAAGCCACUUCAGAAUGAUCAUGUCUCCUUCCUUCUCCAUCUGGUACAACUGUAAGAGUUUCAAAACAGCAAGGUACCAGCAACAGCACAUUCUGACAGAGAAAGAAGUAUUCAUAUAGCAAAUUUAAAAGAGGUAUUGCCUCUCACAGUGUCUCUGAAAGCCUCUUCUGCACUUUUCUGUGUGUAAAGCAUUAUUGAUAUGUUGUGUUCAAAGUCAAAUAUUACAGGUGAAACUGGAAAGUUACCUUUGGGAACUUGCUCUCCUCAUCAAUGAGGGAGAUGAUGUUCAUGGGCUUGAGUGCAAUGACUUCCAGGGUCUGGCGGUUGUCAGUGAAGUCAAUGUUAUUCCAGGUAAUGUGCUCUGCAAGGUAUUCCUCUUGUUCCAGCUUGAAGACAUGGUGCACAAAGAACUGCUGAAGGUGUUCAUUUGCAAUAUUAAUGCAGAGCUGCUCAAAGCUGUAAGGGGACAAGAUGGGAACCCAUGGUCAUCCCUGGACCUUGGCCAGUGCUGCACUGCUCUACGGCAUUUGUUUAUUGUCCAUAUUAAAUACUUUUCCAGAUAAACUAUUGUUAUAUUCCAUGUUACUGAUCACCACCACUGCAUGUUGUCUUUGAAACAUAAGAGAUGUGUUUCCUGCUCUAAUAAAGAUGAGCAGAAAUGAGCCAACUGUUGACUGAGUGUUGCUGGUUAAGCAAGGAAAGAUCUGUUUCAAGGAGCUCCAGAGAGAAAGGGGAACAUAUAACUGUGAAAAUAGCAUGUCUGGGUGAGUGUAUGGUCUGUUUUUACUUGCAGUGGCAUUACCGCUUCUUUUGUCAGUUAGUCCUUAACACUGCAUGUGAGUUUCAUUACCUGGUAAUUGCUGUGGCACAAUGUGUGCCAGUGAGGCCCCAUGUGGACUGCAGCCUUUGGGAAUAGCAUAAAGUAAUAGGAAAGAACAUUAAAAAUGUAGGAUAGGCUGAACAGAUUAUGUUCUAAAAGUCAGU